rnacentral:rRNA from 2 species
UAGCCGGACGGGACGGGGAGGGGGCUACAAGGCAGCGUGUGUGAAGAAGGCCUUCGAGGUUGUAAAGCACUUUCAGUCGUGAGGAAGGUAGUGUAGUUAAUAGCUGCAUUAUUUGACGUUAGCGACAGAAGAAGCACCGGCUAACUCCGUGCCAGCAGCCGCGGUAAUACGGAGGGUGCGAGCGUUAAUCGGAAUUACUGGGCGUAAAGCGCAUGCAGGUGGUUUGUUAAGUCAGAUGUGAAAGCCCGGGGCUCAACCUCGGAAUUGCAUUUGAAACUGGCAGACUAGAGUACUGUAGAGGGGGGUAGAAUUUCAGGUGUAGCGGUGAAAUGCGUAGAGAUCUGAAGGAAUACCGGUGGCGAAGGCGGCCCCCUGGACAGAUACUGACACUCAGAUGCGAAAGCGUGGGGAGCAAACAGGAUCAGAUACCCUGAGUAGUCCC